AGUCGAACGAGAUCUUCGGAUCUAGUGGCGCACGGGUGCGUAACGCGUGGGGAUCUACCAAAGGGUACGGAAUAACUCAGAGAAAUUUGUGCUAAUACCGUAUAAUGUCGCAAGACCAAAGAUUUAUCGCCUUUUGAUGAACCCGCGUAAGAUUAGCUUGUUGGUGAGGUAAAGGCUCACCAAGGCGACGAUCUUUAGCUGGUCUGAGAGGAUGAUCAGCCACACUGGGACUGAGACACGGCCCAGACUCCUACGGGAGGCAGCAGUGGGGAAUAUUGGACAAUGGGCGAAAGCCUGAUCCAGCAAUGCCGCGUGAGUGAUGAAGGCCUUAGGGUCGUAAAGCUCUUUUACUAGGGAUGAUAAUGACAGUACCUAGAGAAUAAGCUCCGGCUAACUCCGUGCCAGCAGCCGCGGUAAUACGGAGGGAGCUAGCGUUGUUCGGAAUUACUGGGCGUAAAGCGCGCGUAGGCGGUUACCCAAGUCAGAGGUGAAAUCCCGGAGCUCAACUCCGGAACUGCCUUUGAAACUAUGUAACUAGAAUCUUGGAGAGGCGAGUGGAAUUCC
rnacentral:rRNA from 1 species